rnacentral:rRNA from 1 species
UACGGAGGAUUCGAGCGUUAUCCGGAUUUAUUGGGUUUAAAGGGUGCGCAGGCGGUUUUUUAAGUCGGCGGUGAAAUUUUGCGGCUCAACCGUAAAAGUGCCUUCGAAACUGGAAGACUUGAGUAUAGAUGAAGUAGGCGGAAUUUGUGGUGUAGCGGUGAAAUGCAUAGAUAUCACGAGGAACUCCGAUUGCGCAGGCAGCUUACUAAACUAUAACUGACGCUCAUGCACGAAGGCGUGGGGAUCAAACAGGAUUAGAUACCCUGGUAGUCCACGCAGUAAACGAUGAUUACUCGCUGUUUGCGAUAUACCGCAAGCGGCUUAGCGAAAGCGUUAAGUAAUCCACCUGGGGAGUACGUUCGCAAGAAUGAAACUCAAAGGAAUUGGCGGGGGCCCGCACAAGCGGAGGAACAUGUGGUUUAAUUCGAUGAUACGCGAGGAACCUUACCCGGGCUAGAACGCAGAGGGAAUGUAUGGGAAACUGUACAGCCGCAAGGCCGUCUGCGAGGUGCUGCAUGGUUGUCGUCAGCUCGUGCCGUGAGGUGUCGGCUUAAGUGCCAUAACGAGCGCAACCCUUAUUGUUAGUUGCCAGCGGAUCAUGCCGGGGACUCUAGCAAAACUGCCGGCGUAAGCUGUGAGGAAGGUGGGGAUGACGUCAAAUCAGCACGGCCCUUACGUCCGGGGCGACACACGUGUUACAAUGGGAGGUACAGAAGGUUGCUACCACGCGAGUGGAUGCUAAUCCAGAAAGCCUCUCUCAGUUCGGAUCGAAGUCUGCAACUCGACUUCGUGAAGCUGGAUUCGCUAGUAAUCGCGCAUCAGCCAUGGCGCGGUGAAUACGUUCCCGGGCCUU